AUGACCUUGUCCUCAUUAAUCAUCCUCCUCACCUUCUGCACACGAUCCUGGGCACAAUCUGUAUUGACUCAGCCAUCCUCAGUGUCUGGGAACCAUGGACAGAAAGUCACCAUCUCCUGUGCUGGAAGCAGCAGUAACAUUGGCAUCUAUGCUGUGUACUGGUAUCAACAGCUGCAAGGAACCUCCCCUAAGCUCCUCAUCUAUGGUAAUAGCAAUCGACCAUCAGGGAUCCUUGAUCGCUUCUCUGGCUCCAAGUCUGGCAACUCAGCUACACUGACCAUCACUGGGCUCCAGCCUUAA